UGAAAUGCGUAGAUAUCGUAAGGAAGACCAGUGGCGAAGGCGGGUCUCUGGACAGUUCCUGACGCUGAGGCACGAAGGCCAGNNNAGCAAACGGGAUUAGAUACCCCGGUAGUCCUGGCAGUAAACGGUGCACGUUUGGUGUGGGAGGAUUCGACCCCUUCUGCGCCGGAGCUAACGCGUUAAACGUGCCGCCUGGGGAGUACGGUCGCAAGAUUAAAACUCAAAGAAAUUGACGGGGGCCCGCACAAGCGGUGGAGUAUGUGGCUCAAUUCGAUGCAACGCGAAGAACCUUACCUGGCCUUGACAUGCAUCUCUAAGCGCGUGAAAGCGCGUGAGUCCCGAAAGGGACAAUUUGCACAGGUGCUGCAUGGCUGUCGUCAGCUCGUGUCGUGAGAUGUUGGGUUAAGUCCCGCAACGAGCGCAACCCCUGUGAACUGUUGCCACCGAGCCGUGAGGCUCGAGCACUCUGUUCAGACUGCCCCGCUCUAACGGGGAGGAAGGUGGGGACGACGUCAAGUCAGUAUGGCCCUUACGGCCAGGGCUGCACACGUACUACAAUGCCCAGUACAGAAGGAUCCAAGACCGCGAGGUGGAGGAAAUCACUAAAACUGGGCCCAGUUCAGAUUGAAGUCUGCAACUCGACUUCAUGAAGCCGGAAUCGCUAGUAAUGGCGCAUCAGCUACGGCGCCGUGAAUACGUUCCCGGGCCUUGUACACACCGCCCGUCACAUCAUGGGAGUCGCUUGUAGCCGAAGUCGGCGUGCUAACUAGCAAUAGAGGCAGCCGCCUACGCUAUGAGCGGUAACUGGGAUGAAGUCGUAACAAGGUAGCCG
rnacentral:rRNA from 1 species